UGGCCACUGUCUCUAGUGCUUUAGCGCAUUAAUUGGACAUAUAUUUUCUGAGGUAUGCCUAGGAAUUACUAGUAUCGCCUCUGCUAAUCUUUGUUCCCUCUCCCCUUGUCUUCUAAUCCUUCUGUUAGUAACUUCUCUUUUAUUCUUGCUACCUAAUUGAAUUGAAAGAUGGAACUGAGGACCUACAAAGGAAUAACCCUUACCAUUUUAUUUUGUGAUAGUCUUGAGCCAUGGAUUGUUGACUUGAUAGGACAUUUUGUUAUUUGUGAAUAGAACACAUGCCUUUGAAUUAGAUAAGCCUAAAUUUGAGUUCCCCAGUGAGUGAGCAAAUUAUUUAACCUUUGUCAGCAUCGAUUUUCUUAUUCUUAAAAAGGAAAAAAUAACAUUUACUUUGCAGAAUUGGGGGGUUAGUUUUAAAUGAAAUAUUGUAUGUAGAGCACAUAGCACAGUGCCUGGCAUAUAAUGCUUCCAAUAAAUGGUAGGUAUUAUUGUUUCUAUUUAGGGAGGCAUGUGAAAAAUUUUAAUUUAAAUACCAUGCAUUUCAUUGGCCCUAAAUUCUCUUUUUACGAUGUUAACAAUUUGUAGGUGUGGAUCAAGCUUACCUCAUGUCUUCUCUACCACUCUGCUCUCCAACUUACUUUCAGAAAGUACUUUCCCUGGGAGGAUGGAGAUGACAUCCUGAGUUCGACGAGCCUUUGCAAGGAGAGGGGAGGGGACUAAAUGUUGUCUUUUCUGUACCAUUCUUAUGUAACAUAUGCCCACAUGCCAUGUGUUUUCAGUCUUCUAUCUCCCCAGGAUAUUACUGCUGAGGAAAAACUAUCUUUAGUGCUACACACAGAAGGAAUGCCUGCUGUAAAGCUCUGGGCAAAGGAUAAUGUAAUUCUCUCACAGCAAAGUCUUGGCUCGACUCAGGAUUGGACAUCAACAUGGACUUAGCUCCUUGAGAAAGGAGAAGAGCUACUUGGAACUCUUAAGGAAAAUCUUCUUAGAUAUCCUAACCUAAGGAUAUUGAUGUUAUAAAAUUUUUAAGAUUCCUUCUUUCAUUUGAUAGAAAUCAAUUUUAUACAGGACAUCUAAACUUCACCUUACAUGGAGACACAAUAGAAACUCACACAAAUUAAAAAUACCAAAAGAUUCAGUGUUUUUUUCACUCUUAGUUUUUGGAAAAAUAUGAUGAACACAAGUGGAUAUUUGACAAUGUUUUUAAAAUGAACAGAAUGUUAAUUUUCAUGUAAUAAUAGUCAUAAAACCAUUUUAGCAGCUCAUCAGGUUGAUCAUACAUACUCAUGGUACUAUAUUUAGUGGAAUGAAUAGGCAGUGUUUUCCUGUUUCCUUAUUACUUCUAUUAUGAAGGUUCCUGAGAUUGCAUAUAUAGCCAUAGUAACUUUUUAUUAAAAAUAGUUAUUUGGCCAUUGUUUUAUAGAUUUGGUAGUUUGUAGUGUAUAUACAUAGGUAUAUCCAGUUGAAUACUAAUUUACAGUUUUGUUUUUGAAGGUUUAUUUUCUAACAGUCAUUUAAUAUGGCAUUAGAUUUCAAAUUAUUUUUUAAUUUUUAAUUUUUAAUUUUUUUUUUUUUUUGCUUUUUAGGGCCUCAUGUGUGGCAUAUGGAAGUUCCUGGGCUAGGGUUUGAAUCGGAGCUGCAGCUGCUGGCCCACACAACAGCCAGAGCAAAGCAGGAUCUGAGCCACAUCUGCAACCUACACCAUAAUUCACAACAAUGCCGAAUACUUAACCCACUGAGUGAAGCCAGGCAUCGAACCCUCGCUUCAUGGAUACUAGUUGGGUUCAUUACCACUGAGCACAAUGGGAACUCUAUCAAAUUAUUAUUUUAAAAUAAACUCUAAGCACUGGUGGGAUUGUUUUAUUUUCCUCCCAAAUUUAGAUUGCCUUUUCUUAUCUGUUCGGAAGAGCAUGGGACAAAAUUAGUUAUAUGGAAUUUGUGAUUUGUUUAUUGGAAAUAAAUGUCCCUAACAAGUUACAGCAAAAUCUCAUUUCAUUCAUGCUAUGCCUAUGAACAGAAAGUAUAAAAUUUACUUUAGAUAAGAGUCAGUGGAUUUAAUACCCACAAAUGUUGCCAGGUUGGCAACCUUUGAAUGAUACCAGAUGGACAUGGAGAUUCUAUUUUAUUUUUUGUAAUGAACAGAAUAGAGAAGCAGGUGCUGUGGGACUACUCUCAGGGUUCCGUGGGGAAAUUUGGCUUCUAUUUCCAUUCUAGCAUUAUUUCUUGUUUUGAAAUAGGUAAGCACUAAGUAUUGAAGGAAGGGGGUGAAUGGUCACCGGUUGGGACUUGCUAUGAAAUGAAUUACUACUCAUAACUACUACUGUGUUGUAGCUAGGCUCACAAUCAGGAUUUCAGUAGUACUCGAACACUUAACAUUAUAGAGCUGUUAGAAUCAAUUAGGUCAGCACUACUGCAUCUCAUAAACGAAAGGGCUUAGGACAUUUUUACCGAAGAGACAAAAGAAGGAAGGAGAUUUGCCCGAAGUUACACAGCUAGUUACUGGUAGUUGGGGAUACCCAACUCCAGAUUCCUAACUUUGAAUCUAUCACUCUUACUAUCACACUAUAUUGCCAAACACUUAACAAGGAGAUGAAUAAAAAUAUCAUCUGUUGACUCCCCCCCCCCCCCGCCACAGUAUGAAUGUGUGAAACAAACAAAGGAAUUAGCUGUUUGUUGGAAAUUUUGCCUUAAGAAAGCAUUUCCUUAUUCAGUAGAUUCUCUCCAGAGUUUCCACACAGACUUUCUUCUUUGGCAAUUAGCACAUUAGAAAGGAAAAAUAUUUGCAGCUUAAUUUAAAUCUUCUAAUUAACAGUCAUUAUUAUUUUUAAUAUAAUCCAAUUGCACUACAAACAUUGGAGAAAACAAUUAAGGCAAGCUGAGAGAGAGGGGGAAAAAACCUUUCACAAUCAACACAUUGUUGAUCUCUUCUAGAUCAUUUAAUAUUGUGGGUAUUUUCCUGGAAUUACAUAAGCUAUCAUCCCCCAGUCUCUUCAUCUUGAUUGUAUGGUCUGUGACUGUGUUCAAAUAUCCUAAUAUAAAUACUCUGUAUUAGGUGGUUAUAGCAGCGAAAAUUCUGUCCCAUCACAACACUGUAAGAUGACAAAGUUAUAGGCUAUAAAGUGUACAGAAACAGAAACACAUAUAAAUAUGGAAAUGUGUCUUGGUCUAUGGUUAGAGGUAUUGCUAACCAAACUCUAAGUAUUAAGAUAUUAUAUUCCUUUCCCUAUAUUCUUCUUUUUCUCUUUAUUAUUUCUAUCAGCUGCCAUUCAUUCUUGGCUGGGUAUUUAACUUGCCUGGUUCUCAAUUCUGCAUUCUUGGAACCAUCAGUCCUCUAGUAGCUUCUAUCCAGAUUGCCUGGCACUCCCUCUCCCUUCUCUUCAUAGACCUCUGCUCACAAAAUAACCACCCCUCACCCCAACUAGACUCACCCCUACUGAGAUCAGUCAUAGCCAGUGCUUGCUGCAGGAAAGAUUGAAGCCCUUCUUUUCUAGCCCAGUAUGGAGAGACUUUCUCUUAACACACACUUUUAAUCGUAUGACCCUAACCCAGGACUCUUUUCUUGCUAAAGAUUUAUUUUUCAGAGCCAGUAUAAUAAUGCAGAGGUUAAGCAUUUGAGCUCUGGAGAUAGGCGGACCUAAAUUUAAAAUUUGACUCUAGCCCUUGUUACCUCUUUGACAUUAGGCAAAAUAUUUUUCCUUUCUGCAUUUUAGUUUCUACAAAUUAGAGUUAUAGGAGGCUUAAAUGAGAGAAUUAAUGCAGUUAAUCUGGCAAAGAGGAGUAAGUACCAGUAUAUGGUGUUUAUAAUGAUGUGAGGCAGGAUAGCAUGGACAGUGAGAGAUUGGGCUUGGGAAGCAGACAGACAUGUAUUUAAAUCCUGAUGCCACUCAUCACGAGCAAGUUAUUUUUUUUCAGAGCCUCAGUGUUCUCAUUUGCAAAAUUAAAUGAACAAUAGUGUCUACUUUGCAGAAGAUUUAGUGAGAUAGAAGCUCUAAAUUUCUUGGCUGUCUAUGGUAUAUCUGGAGAGAGAAUGCAAGAAAUUGAGUUCAUGCUGUAUUACAUUGCCUUUCUCUGACUUCUCAGGGUUACCCUCUUGCUGCCCUCCUGGAAUCUAAGCACAUUACCCAGAAAAAUCGAAGUCUGCACUUAUCUGUCCAUCCAUUUAUUUAUUCAUACAACAGUAUCUAUUAUUGGCUAUUGCUGUCCUUUUUUGACCUCUGCAUUGGACUUCCUCCCAUAACUGAUAGCUAGGUCUGUUCCCAGAGUCUUUCACCUCUCAUUUAUUUCCAAGUCUUCAGAAAUUUCAGUCUCCCCUGUCCUUCUAUGGGUACUGGAGCCAUAUCCCGUGGCCCCUGAGCUUGUCCUUUCUACUUGAGGCUGAUUGGCUCUACUUCUAAUACAGAACUUUUUGCUCUUAAACUAAUACUCAAGACUUCCUCCUCCUGUAACUUAUUUCUCCCUUAUUUUCUUCUUUCAGGUUCAGGUUCUUGAGCUAUCUAAUUUGACAGUGAGCUUAUUUGGUAAACCAUUCUGAGCUUAAGAAUUAGAGGAUAUUAUCCAUCCAAUAAAUAUACUCCAAGAGUCUACCAGAUGCUAGGCACUAUAGUAACUUCUGUGCAAGUCAGUGGUGAAUUAGAUGGAUGUAGUAUUUGUCACCACAGAUAUUAGUCAAGAGGGGAAGUAAAUAGACAAAACAGCGUGCAGUGAAGAUUUCUAUGGCUGGGGAACCACUUAGGAUGUGCACCUAAUCCAGAAGUGAGGGAUCAGGGAUGGCUUCCUGGAAGAAGAUAGGUCUUAACCAAGAGAAAUGGAUGGUUGCAAGUCAGUGUUUCAGGCUAAGGCAAGUACAACAGUUCUGAGAAAAGAGAGGGCCUGCCUUGUUCAUGGUAAUAGGAAACAUUCGGCAUGGCAUAUAAACAUGGAUUGAAAAUAGAUUAGGAGUUCCCGCUGUGGCACAAAGGAAUCAGUGGCAUCUCUGGAGCCCUGGGAUGUAGAUUCAAUCCCCAGCCCAGCACAGUGGGUCAAGGAUACUAGAUUGCCUCGAGUAGGUCGCAACUACAGCUUGGAUCUGAAG
rnacentral:lncRNA from 1 species